GAGAAAGUAUGCAAGAACUGCUAACUCUUCAUUCCCGCGUCUAACAACGCGGCUUUCCCA
rnacentral:tRNA from 1 species